AUUGAACGCUGGCGGCAGGCUUAACACAUGCAAGUCGAGCGAGCGGCGGACUGGUUAGUAAUUUCUGGGAAACUGCCUGAUGGCGGGGGAUAACUACUGGAAACGUUAGCUAAUACCGCUUACCAUCAGAUGUGCCCAGAGUGGAUUAUCUAGUAGGUGGGGUAAUGGCUCACCUAGGCGACGAUCCCUAGCUGGUCUGAGAGGAUGACCAGCAAAACGGGAACUGAGACACGGUCCAGACUCCUACGGGAGGCAGCAGUGGGGAAUAUUGGACAAUGGGCGCAAGCCUGAUGCAGCAAUGCCGCGUGUGUGAAGAAGGCCUUCGGGUUGUAAAGCACUUUCAUCGAGGAGGCGUUACUCGAAGAAGAAGCACCGGCUAACUCCGUGCCAGCAGCCGCGGUAAUAC
rnacentral:rRNA from 1 species